rnacentral:lncRNA from 1 species
UCUAAUACAGACCCCAACUUCCUGGGAAAUACUUACUGUGCACCUAAAUCCAAAACUAAUUUUUAAACGUACAUGAAUGGUAGAAGUCAUUACCAUAUGAUAUGGUAAGAAUUCAAGGAAAUUUACAACCCAUGGCUGAUCUGCAGAUAUCACAGAUUGUUGCUUGAGAAAGCUGCCACGUCAAAGAAAACUUUAGAUUGCACCAUCCACACUAUAUUAAAGCUCU